rnacentral:rRNA from 1 species
UUAUUGGGCUAAAGCGUCGGUAGCUGGCCUUGCAAGUCCGUCGGGAAAUCCACCCGCUCAACGGGUGGGCGUCCGGCGGAAACUGUGAGGCUUGGGACCGGGGAGGCUUGAAGGGUACGUCCGGGGUAGGAGUGAAAUCCCGUAAUCCUGGACGGACCGCCGAUGGGGAAACCACUUCAAGAGAACGGAUCCGACAGUGAGGGACGAAAGCUAGGGUCUCGAACCGGAUUAGAUACCCGGGUAGUCCUAGCUGUAAACGAUGCCUGUUAGGUGUGACUCCCACUACGAGUGGGUGUUGUGCCGUAGGGAAGCCGCUAAACAGGCCGCCUGGGAAGUACGUCUGCAAGGAUGAAACUUAAAGGAAUUGGCGGGGGAGCACUACAACCGGAGGAGCCUGCGGUUUAAUUGGACUCAACGCCGGACAUCUCACCAGCAUCGACUGUGGUAAUGACGGUCAGGUUGAUGACCUUACCCGAGCCACAGAGAGGAGGUGCAUGGCCGCCGUCAGCUCGUACCGUGAGGCGUCCUGUUAAGUCAGGCAACGAGCGAGACCCGCAUCCUUACUUGCCAGCAGCACCGCGAGGUGGCUGGGGACAGUAGGGAGACCGCCGUGGCUAACACGGAGGAAGGAACGGGCAACGGUAGGUCAGUAUGCCCCGAAUAUGCUGGGCAACACGCGGGCUACAAUGGCCGAGACAAUGGGUUCCAACGCCGAGAGGCGACGGUAAUCUCAGAAACUCG